rnacentral:lncRNA from 1 species
CUUGAUUGGAUGCAUAUAUCAGGCGCUGGUCCCAUACAAAAGAAAGAAUAAGGAUAUGCCGGCGCAAUUUACAGAGCUCUAGAACAUCAACCAUGAGCCCACCAGCUAUCGCCCUCUUGAUGCAGAAACUUCUGUAACAAGAUAUUCAACAUUACAAAAGUGAAACCAAGUAUUAAUGUGCAAUCACUUCUUAUCGAGCAAGGAAAAUCAACAAAAUUUAAAUGAAACGAAUUCAUUUAUCAAUUAAUCUGGUAAGUGGAGGACUAGAAAGAACAAGAAUGUAGUGGAAAAUUUUAAUCAUGUUCAUUUGGAAACUCUUUUUUUGGGAAGAAAAGGGGAAGAGGGGAGGCAUCAAGAGAGUAGUUGAAAGAAGAGGCAACGAAUCACAACAUCUCAAACCACCUACCUCAGAUUCUUCUUUCUCUUUCUGCAGAAUUUCUUUAAGUUCAACAAUCAAAUGCCUAAAAUCUGCCACUGCCUUUCCACCCUCCUGCAGCACAGAACCUGAAAACUUUUCUGAAAUUUGAUUUAGAGCGCUGCACACUUCACUGAAC